AAAAAGGCUGUUUUAGCAGCCACCAUCACAUUUUUAUUUUGAUUA
rfam:Citrus sinensis cultivar Ridge Pineapple sweet orange scaffold00289_contig_27, whole genome shotgun sequence.